GAUGAACGCUGGCGGCGUGCCUAAUACAUGCAAGUCGAGCGAAGCGGGGACGGGUGAGUAACACGUGGAUAAACUCAUAUAAGACUGGGAUAACUUCGGGAAACCGGAGCUAAACCGGAUCCUUAUAGAUGGAUCCGCGCUGCAUUAGCUAGUUGGUAAGGUAACGGCUUACCAAGGCAACGAUGCAUAGCCGAACUGAGAGGGUGAUGGGCCACACUGGAACUUAGACACGGUCCAGACGCCGACGGGAGGCAGCAGUAGGGAAUCUUCCGCAAUGGUCGAAAGCCUGACGUAGCAACGCCGCGUGAGGUAUGAAGGUCUUCGGAUCGUAAAACUCUGUUAUUAGGGAAGCGUUACCUAAUCAGAAAGCCACGGCUAACUACGUGCCAGCAGCCGCGGUAAUAC
rnacentral:rRNA from 1 species